ACGCAACCGUGUUUGCGUACUUGUGUUUCGAGUUGCGUGGUCGUGCGGAGUUAUAUUUACCAAAUUCGUUUCUACUGAUAAUAAAUAAUAUACUAUUCUCAAUAGGGCUUUUCAUCGACUGUCAUUUGUUUCGAGCUUCUGUCAUGUGUCACAUAAUAUUAAUAUAUCUACGCCAUACGUCUUUGGUUUGUAUCAUUGGUAUAUAUCAAUAACGUAUGACGUAGAUAUAUUAAUAUUAUGUGACACAUGACAGAAGCUCGAAACAAAUGACUGUGAAUGAAAAGCCCUAUAUGGCUACUGGGUGUAAAAGAUAAAUCUUAUUCUAUCUGUUCUUCAUGAGUUUUAGAUAAUUUUAGUUGUAUUUCUUUGUAAUUUUGUGUUGUACAAAGAUUAAUUUAACAUUUUCUCUGGAAGUAUUAAUUUAAAAAGAUAAUAUGCUUCAUUGGUGUUGUGUUUUGAAGUGUGAAAUGCAAAGUAAUUGUGAUAAAGUCAAGAUAAAGUUCACUUUUAAACUGAACUAAAUAAGGUAUCUGAGAGACAACAAUGGUUAAAUGCAAUACAAUGUACAGGUUUUACUAGCGAAAUGAAAAUUUUCCUGUCCUGUCUGCUGUAAUCAUUUUAUAUCUGGUAAGUUACAAUUACAACAGUAACGAUUUUUGAAGAUGUUAACAUUUUAAUCUUAUAGGAAAAUAGGAAAACCAGCCGACUUAAUCGAUAAUAACAAUCUCCAGAUUGGGUUCCUUCAAUAAAUAUGGGCUAUAAACACAAUGAAAUAAGUUCCCCAAAAUCUAAAAUGGAGUGCUAUCAAAGGAGAAUUAAAGGAAAAAAUAUUCAUAUUGAAAUUAUUUAUAAGGCACUGGACUGUCUUAAAUUCUACAAUAAUACUAGAAUCAGCUGAGAGAAGUGGUCUACAAAAAACCAGGAAGGAAACGGAAUAUGUGGCUACGAAAGGCAAAAGAAAGGUUUACAAAGCAAAUGUGACACAUUUUUUUGAAAUAUUUAGGAAUAUCAGUAAAUUGCAUUAAAAAAUGUAUGAAAAGAUUUUGUUCAAUAAAAAUGUUUAUAUUUA